AGAGUCACAAGAUCAUGACGGAAGCCAAAGUCGGACACCUGACUGAGCCACCCAGGCGCUCCAAAGGUGACAGCUUCUUUUGAUCUUUCACAUUUGCUCCCUGAGAGGAGAAGGUUAACUCACAGUGGGCUAACCAGUUAUCAGAGUCCAGGAUGAAAAAUACAUUCUGUUGUGAAAUUAAUCUUCAGAAAAGCUGGAUUUCAUGAAGCCUAGACACACACACACACACACACACACACACACACACACACACACAGUGAGGGGGGUGGAGAGAGAGAGAUUAACUUUCUAGCUACCUCUUUUUCUAUCAGCUGAACCCAGCAACGUACAAGUCAGGGAAGACUGCCUGGAAUAAAACACACGGAAGAGUUCCUUUGUCCUUUAAAUCUGAACUACUAAAGACUGAAUGGAUUCUUUAGAUUCUUGAAUUCCUUAAAUGACCAACAAACCUAAAGGUUCUCUACUGGAGAUAAUGCAUCUUGUUUUCCACGGAGCCUUAAGGGAUGCUUUAAAUAGCAUCAGCAAGCAUCCGAAUGAAUUAGACAGCAAAUGUAGGUUAGCUUUAUUUAGACAGAUAAAGACAAGCAGAGAAAGUUGUCUGGUUCAAGGGCAGUGCAGCCUGACACGACAGCAUUUCUCAGAGGAGGGGAAAUUGCUUUGGGAGAGAGAGGUAUUUUGGGCAAAGAGCAAAGUUCCUUGGAUCACCAGGGGAAGCAAUGCUAAGUUCUUCAGUACAGAGAAGCAGGAAUUAAGAGUGGCCUGCCACUCAUUGAAGGAAAGAUCUAUAGAUUUAAAAUGUAAAACAGAACUCAGCAUCCCUAAGUUCACAUAUGCAUCCUCUUUUCCCUCUCGCAUUCCUUGGGAGCACCAUCAGAAAGGACACACUUCCCAGAACAUGAGCUAAGGCAGGGAGUUUAUCAGACUCCUCUGGAAUGGGACUCGGCAUCCCCAGCAAGUUCUGCUUCAGGAAGUAUGUCCAGAUGGAGGGCCCCUGAAGAUGGGGGAGCCCAGAAAGCAGGGAAACUGGCAAAUACGAGGGCAUCCACUCAUUAGACAAAAAUGUAGGUGCCUGGAAAAAAGGUGCAGUGCAUGAAUUUGGUUUACUUUUUUCUCCUUUUUCCCCCCAUCCCUUGAAUUAUUUUCUGAAAACAAACUUCUUAUAAAAAGCAGUGGGUCUAGAAAAACGUGUACAACUUUCUGGUUUCAUUUGUUUUUACUGUGUUUAUGGUUUCUUGUCUAACUUUUUGCUAACUUUUCUCCUCAGCGGGCCAAAGUCAAGUGAUAUUUGAUGUCAGCUUGUAGCCCUAUCAGUAAUUUGUUUUAAAAAUAAAAAACAAUUUCAAUCCAUUAUGAUGUUCCAAAUGUAGCACUGAAUUUAGACUUGUAAAAAUAUCUUCAGAAAAAUCUAAAAAUUUAGAUUUGCAUAGAUUUCCAUUUCCUCCAAAUCUAAUUUUUAUAUGUUUCCUUUUUUAAGGGUCUCGUAACUUCUGAAAAUUAUACAUCUUUAAAUGUCGCCAAGGCAGGUAUAGCAGAGGGAAAUACUAUGUUAUAACCCUGUCAUGAAGCAGAAUUUAAGCUUCAUUGUGAAUUAGGCAUGUAUUCCACUUUCUUUGUACUUACCAUUUAAUAAUUCACUUCCUUCUUCCCUCCCUCCCUUCCUCCCCUCCUUCGUUCCUUCCACAGUUAUUUACUGAGAGCCUACCCUACACCAAGAGUGAGCAUCAGACUUACUUGCUCCCCUUCUCCAUUCCUGGGGGAUUCUCUCCCUAAUCAUUGCCUCUCCCCUCUGUCUACCCCAAGCCCAUUCACUACUUACCUGGUAAACUAGCAUAUGGACUAAUAAUGUAUUCAAUUGGGAACUACUGUUUUGCACUUUUACCAAAGCACACAAAACUUCUCUAAUUCACUGCCCCAAACUCAUUAUACUUUUAGCCAUUUGUAAAACUGGCAAAUCAGUUAAUCAUUUUAAUUCUAAGAAGGAGGUGGAAAGCCAAUUCCUGUGACUAUAUUUGUAAAGUAGUAGAGUCAAAAGACUCCUAUGAGACCUGGUACCAUGCUUAUUCCAGUGUUAUACUAACUUUUUUUUUUUAAUGUUCAUUUAUUUUUGAGAGAGAGACAGAGUGAGCAGGGGAGGAGCAGAGAAAGAGGGAGACACAGAAUUGGAAGCAGACGCCAGGCUCAGAGCUGUCAGCACGAAGCCUGACAUGGGGCUUGAACUCAUGAACUAUGAGAUCAUGACCCGAGCCAAAGCUGGACGCUUAACCCACUGAGCCACCCAGGUGCCCCAAAGGUUAUACUAACUUUUAGUAAAACCCCCUCACCUAAAGUCUUCAUUUUUGCAGUUACAAGAAUGUGAUCAAAAGGGAGACUAGUCUUUUAUUCCUUUUUGGUAAAGACACUAACAUUUCUAUAUGAAGUAAAAUGAAAAAACUUAACAUCCCUGAGGGGCGCCUGGCUAGCUCAUUUGAGAGGAAGUGACUUUUGUUUUUUAACCUGUUUUUUCUUUUCUUUUCUUUUCAUUUCUUUUCCUUUUCUUUUCUUUUAUGAAUAUAAUUUAUUGUCAAAUUGGCUUACAUACAACACCCAAUAAGAGAAAGUGACUCUUGAUCUCAGGGUCCUGAGUUUGAGCCCCAUGUUGGGGGUAGAGAUUACUUAAAAAGAAAAGAAGGAAAGAAAGAAAGAAAGAAAAGGAAGGAAAGAAAGAAAGAAAGAAAGAAAGAAAGAAAGAAAGAAGAAAAAGAAAGAAAGAAAGAAAGAAAGACAGAAAGAAAGAAAGAAAGAAAGAAAGAAAGAAAGAAAGAAAAGAAAAGAAAGACAACAAAACUUAACAUCCUUGGGAUCUAUAUUUCUUGCUCUGACAUCUGCAAUCACUUCACUAUUGUUGGAGUAUCUUUAUUAAAAUUCCCAAUUUGUGCUAAUAAUGAGACUUUUUAAGUGUUCUUCAAUAAGUCAAUCUCAGAACUCACUUUUAAUAUUUUUUAAGUGCUGGAGGGAAAAAAAAACACUUGAAUAUGGAGGUAGAAGACAAAGUUAUAAUCGCUAAUCCAAAUAAAUAAAAUACGAUGUACGUAACUUUAAAAAAAUCAUAACAAUCUUUUGUUUGUGUUUUCCGGCGUUCUGCACGUUUGCUACACUACUAUUUCAGUAAUCUUAAUAAUUCUCUGAAGAAGACAAUGCUUUCAUAGUGUUCGACUAGAUAGACUGAGAGUCCCACAUUUUAUUUUUGUUUUGUGACAUUUGUGGCUCUUCAGCGUGACACUGGCAUUCUUCCUCCUCUGAUGCAACUUCCUUCUCUGUUUCACUCUGUUUUGGUCGAGGUUGUUUCAACCUCCCCCCUUCUCUGUGUAGUCUUUCAGCUGGACCAGGAGAGCCCGAGCUGUCGCUUUGUUUUCUGAACAUCCACUUCUGUUUCCUGUGGCAACACCUGCAGAUAAAUACGUAGCUGGCUACCCAAACGGACACUGCCCGCACCCCCUAGACGCUCUCCUCCGCAGGCCCGCGCAGACCCAGUUAACAUUGGAAAUGAAGAGCCCGCUGUGAUGGUGUGAGGAUGCCCCCCCCACCCCCACCCCCAAACAUGUGAAAAUAACUCAGCAAAAAACAGAGCAGCUGCCUGGUCAUCUUCCCCAUCACUGGGAUUUCUUCAGGUAACCAAUAAAUAGCUUGAGGAGACAGAAGAAAGAUACCCUGAAGACUUUCUCCUCCGGGCUUCUUUUCCAGCGUUAGCCAUGGCACUUCUGUUCUACGCUUGAAGCCUCGCAACAUGCAUGCCCGGGGCCGAGGAGCAUAGAGUUGGUAGAGGGAGCCAAUGUUUCCAGAAGAAACUGUGCCACUCCAAAGGGAAAUUAGAAAAGGAGAAAGUGACCCUUGAAUAAAGAAGAGUUUAUUCAUUUAAAGACCCCUCUCCGGGAUUCUUGGCAGGAAGAGUUCACUUUCCUGCUGCAUCAGGGAUUGGAAGGCUAUUCCUCUGUCCAUGGUCCUAUUCCUCUGCUUCAAACAACUUUAGAAGAAUCCAGAGGGAGGUUCAAAUCUGCAAUGUAGAAAAGCAUUGAAGUGUUCUAGAUACAGCUGAGAAGCUGAGAGAAGACGGAAUUUGUGGGUAUAGCAGAUCUUUGGAAUCUUUGAAAAGAAGUUCUGUCUGCAGUAGAUCCCACCAGCAGAAGCGGAUCCUGCUGGACAGCCAUUCUUUUCAAUAUUGAUGAACAGCAUCUAUCCGUGGAGUGAGCUCCACUUGAGCUGAAGCCUGCUUGGUAAGAAUGACACUAUCAUCUCCCUAACAUUUCAUAUUUUGAAAGAAAGCUCUUCCCAUUCCUAAUGCUUCUCAUCAUUUUUCCCCAACACUCCUGUAAGACCAGUCAACAUUCACCUGUGCUUUUAUGGCGAUGAAGAGAGACUAACAAACUCAGUAACUCAACUGAGAAAGAUAUUUUAUGGGCAGCCCAUAGUAAUCGCCUAUCUUUUAAAAAGAAACAACAUUUUUUGAGAUCCCAGGAGGUGUCUGGCACUACACGAAGUGGUAUGAGCAUGAGAGUGCAGAACAUAAUGUUUGGGAACAUAAUGUUCCUCCGGGGACUUAAAAAUUAAUGCAGAUCCAAAACUGUUUUAAAAAAUGUGGGUUGUAAUAAAUUAUGGGAAAACAAAGUGAAAGGUGUAGGGGCAAAAAUCCCAAGCAUAGUGAUGAACUAGAGAACAUGGAAAUGGAAUAUGAUGAGCCAAUUAACCUCAGGAGGACAGAGACUCAUGGUAUGGGCAGAAUACAAGACACUUAUCUUGAGAAGUCAAUUUUGCAGACUCAGUUACUUGUCCACACACACAAAAUCAAUAGCUAUUUCUGAUAGGCUGCUGGCAAAAAAAAAAAAUACUGUUCUUUUCUAUAGAUGGAGUCUAAACCAUCCAGCAUACAAUAAAGUGUUUAAGAGAAAAAAUAUAUGUGGGCUGGCAAGCUUUCAAUCUACAAAGCUGGUGAUCUAGUUUUGGGUGAUAGCUCUAAUGGAAAUAGGUGCAAUUGGGUUUGUAGAUACUGAUUUUUAUCAGCAACCAGAAACUGUGCUAAAAGCUCAAUUUGGCCUACUUUAGGUUCCCCGGGUAAGUUAGCGAGGGAAUUUUCAUUAGGUUAUUUGUUAUAUGUCAAAAGAAGAAAUAAAGCAAUGCAUGAACACUGUGAUAUGUAGGUGAGAAGGUAUCUUAAUAGAAAUACUACUCUAGUCUAGAACAGUGUUUCCCCACCAAGGUGAUGGAAAGUACUGGGAAAUGCAGAGACCUAACUUGUCCUCAGACUGAGCUUUCUUCAUUGCCCCAGAUUUCCAGUUUUAAUAACUUCAACCUUGCUAACCUGCCAGUACUAGGGAAGUCAGUUUCUGUACUGAUGUCAGCCUCUGAUUUGAACUCCCUCAUGGUCAUUGCAACUUUGUUCACUUUUGUAAUUAUUUUUUCACAUUUUCUUGUUUUAUAGCAAUACGAAAAGAUAAAAAUACCUAGAAAUGUUUUUUUUCCAAUGUUGAAGGGAAUAAUUUAGACAGUCACUUCCACAUGGAUAUCUAAUAGGCAUCUCAAACUGAGUACGGCCAAAAGAGAAGUCUUGAUUCUUUCUCUUAAUCUUCUUGAAUCAAACAACCCCAAGAGGCUUAAAUAGAGUUUUACUUUUUUCAUAAAGAGAUGUCUGGAAAUAGAUUAUUUCUGGUGUUAAUUCAGCUGCUCAACUACACCAUCAAGGACCUAGGUAGUUUCUCUUUUUUCCUGUCACUAUCCUUAACAUGUUGGCCUUUAAUUAUCCUGUCUUUUAUUUUGUAGUCACAAGAUGGCUGCUGUGACUCCAGGCAUUGUGAUGGUGCUCAAGAUAGCCAAAUCUGUCCCCAGAAGGCUUUCUCUUAGGUCUCGUUAGCCAGAAAUGAAUCAUUCCUGGCUGCAAAGGAGAUGGGGAAAUUGAGUAUCUAGCAAAAGAGAAUGGGAUUAUUAUAAUUGAAAUGUACUGAUCAUGAUUCAUCACUUGGAGCUGGACAUAUUGUCACCCUCAACAAAGUCAGGGCUCUGUUAGCAAGGAGGAAGAGAACAGCUGUUGGAGAGGGAAGUGACACAGACUGCCACACUUCUUAUUCCCAGCCUACCUGUCUCACUGAAUAGCAUCACCAUCUGCCCAGUGCCUGAGCCAGUAACAGAGGAGAGAGCUUGGAUUCCUUUGUUUCUCUUAUGUCCCCCAUAAAAAAAUACCACACAGUUCUGUUGACUCUACUUCCCCUGUGUACCCCUAAUCCACUCUAUUCGCCCUUAGUCACUGGUAUCCUAGUUCAAGCUACCAUUGUUCACCUGAAUUACUGCAACUGCCCCCUAAAUAAACAGAAACAAUCACUUCCUUGUUUAGAACCUCCCAUCGGCUUCCCAUCUCCUCUAAAAUCCAAAUUUCUUACGCUGACCUUCCAGGCCUAGAAGAUCUAGGUUCUGCUCACUGGUCCAACUUUAUCUUGUUCCACUUUUCUGUUUGCUCCUGACUUCCAACCAUGCAGGGUUUCUUUCUCUUCCUCUGACGCUAACUUGUUACCGUCUUGGGAACAUUGGAACCACCUGUUUUCUCCAUCUAGAGUGCUAUGCAUUUCUGAUCUUUUCAUGACCAGCCCCUCCUUGUCAUUUAGAUCACUGUUCAAAUGUUAUCUCUUCAGAGAGGUCUUCUCUGGCCACCAAUCUAAAACAGCAAACUGGUUGGUCAUCCAUCACUUCAUCCUAUUUUAUUUCUUUAUGUUUGCACCUACCACUGUCUAACAUUAUCUUAUUUACCUCUUUAUGUGUCAUGUAUGAAAUGUAACUAUUUAUUUCCCACCUCCUUCACACUAGAAUAUCAGCUCCAUGACAGGAGAGACCUUGUGUGUUCUGUUCACAGCUGUAUUCCUAGCACCAGAUCAAGGCACAUGGCAGGUUCUCAUCAAAUAUUUCCGAGUGAAUGAAUACAUGAGGGGAAAGAUUUUUUUUAAGCGGAAACUUUAGCAAUAAAAGAACAUCUGUAAACUAUUAUCAGCAUCCUUAGAGUUGUCCUUCACAGAGAAAAAUAACUUUGUUAGUUGAAGGAUGUAAAAUGUGUUAUGCUUUAAAGACAUCACAAUUAAUAAGCAAUACUAAUUUCUUCCACACAGCCUCUUUCCUCCUGUGUCCUACUUUCCAAAGCUUAACAAGCCGCAUGUCUUCAUGCUCUAUCAGUGCAGUUACUAAAUGCCUUCUCCAUUGACUUCUCUCUUUUUGCUCCAAUAAUGUGAUUACCUUUUCUGACCAUUUUCUGAAGUUCUGGGACAAUUUAAAAGAAACAUUUGGGCGAUGUCCUCCUUUCCUCCAUUUUUUGGCCAGAAUUUCAAGACGGGGAAAACCAAAAUGUUCUUGGACAAAGAGAGAAAUAUUUAGCAUCUAAAAUUUUCUGCCUUUUUGUGAGGUUUUCAUAUUUCUGUGUAUGUUCUUCCUAAAGGCUAAAACCGUUUGUACUCUCUUCACCAGAAAACCAGACUUUUCGUAAGACUGUCCUUUGGGUAAAAUGUUAAAAUUGGAGAGAUUGAUCGGCAGCCUUCAUUCAUUUCCCUCCAUGAUCCUUUUAGUCCUUUCCACACCUUCUCAGUCCUGAGGCGACUUUUUGUAAGCCCAGGCUUCUGGAUCAGCAGCCGGCUGGGCCCACGGGCUCAGCCUGCAUACCAGACAUCCCGUGCAUCUGGCGGGCCAUAGCACAUUGAAAUUGUGCACCAGAAUCUUUGAGAAGUUCAACCUCUUCACACUGGGGAUACAGCAUUCUGGUGAUGGAGAUCCAGCAUACUCUAAAAUGCCCCUAUGUUUAGAAACGUUCCCCAAUACUGCUCAUAAAUUACACACAAAGAAUCCCGGGGUGUUUGAACUUCUGGACUUGUCAACAGAAAAUAGCAAGCAAAAUGAUUCUCAUCCUCAAAGGUCUUCUGUGAAUACAUCAUAAACAAGAAUAAACUGUUCCUCUGUACUUAA